CUGCUCCAAUAUUUUUCCUGUGGUUUACUGAAGCUUAACUUCUGUCACCAUUAAAAACGUGAUGGGCUGCAAACUUGAUACAUCCCAAAUUCCAUCAGAUACCACAAAUAAAGUUUGUGGAGAUUUUACCUUAAAAACCAAAGGCAGGAACACUAAAUUCAAGCAAAUACCUUGAACACAUUUCCUUGGAAUAUCUGUUGUGCCAACUCAAAGACAAUAUUUUCAGAUCUUGGGGACCAAGAUGUCCCGGGUAUCAAAUACUGCUGGUACAUACAAAUGAAAGAAAGCCUCCCCCUAGAAGUUUGGUUCAAGCAUGGAGAAGACUACUGGGGACAAUAAGGACAUACAGAACAUUCACAGCUUAUGACUGGCAAAGUUGUGUCCCUUAUUCAGCAGGGACUUUAUCCAUUAAAGUGACAUUGUUCAUUAGAAAGCUGAUGAAUCAGCCCCAGAGAGUCACAUUUAGGCAUGACAGCUUGAUUUAUCUUCAAUAUUUCCACUGGAUCCUGAAGUCAGGAGUUUUUGUACUAACAAUCA